rnacentral:rRNA from 1 species
CAGAGGGGGACUGAGACACGGCCCCCACUCCUACGGGAGGCAGCAGCUAAGAAUAUUGCACAAUGGACGAAAGUCUGAUGCAGCGACACCGCGUGAGGGAUGAAGGUUUUAGGAUUGUAAACCUCUUUUAUUAGGGAAUAGCAAGGAAGGUACCUAAUGAAUAAGCUACGGCUAACUACGUGCCAGCAGCCGCGGUAAUACGUAGGUAGCGAACGUUGUCCGGAAUCACUGGGCGUAAAGGGUCCGUAGGCGGUUUGAUAAGUCUCAUAUGAAAACUUCAAGCUCAACUUGGAGAGGUUGUGAGAUACUGUCAAACUAGAGACUGUUAGAGGUAAGUGGAAUUCCAGGUGUAGUGGUGAAAUGCGUAGAUAUCUGGAGGAACACCAGUGGCGAAAGCGACUUACUGGGACAGUUCUGACGCUAAGGGACGAAAGCGUGGGGAGCGAACCGGAUUAGAUACCCGGGUAGUCCACGCCGUAAACGAUGAUUGCUAGGUUUUCGGGGCAUCGACCCCUCGUGAGCCGAAGUUAACGCGUUAAGCAAUCCGCCUGAGUAGUACGGCCGCAAGGCUAAAACUCAAAGAAAUUGACGGGGGACCGCACAAGCAGCGGAGCGUGUGGUUUAAUUCGAUGGUAAGCGAAGAACCUUACCAGGGUUUGACAUGUAAGUAGUACUGAACCGAAAGGGGAUGGACCCGCAAGGGAGCUUACACAGGUGUUGCAUGGUUGUCGUCAGCUCGUGCCGUGAGGUGUUGGGUUAAGUCCCGCAACGAGCGCAACCCUCUUUGUUAGUUGCACUCUCUAACGAUACUGCCCUUAAAAGGGAGGAAGGUGGGGAUGACGUCAAAUCAUCAUGGCUCUUACACCCUGGGCUACACACACGCUACAAUGGCAAGUACAGACGGUUGCCAACCCGCGAGGGGGAGCUAAUCCGAUAAAACUUGUCUCAGUUGGGAUUAUAGGCUGAAAUUCGCCUAUAUGAACGUGGAGUUGCUAGUAAACGCAGGUCAGCACACUGCGUUGAAUACGUUCCCGGUCCUUGUACACACCGCCCGUCACGUCAUGGAAGUUUGUAACACUUGAAGUCGUUGCGCUAACCCUUUGGGAGGCAGACGCCGAGAGUGGGACGGAUGACUGGGACGAAGUCGUAACAAGGUAGCUGUACCGGAAGGUGCG